UGCUACAGGAAGUCAGUACCCAGGGAAGUCAAUAAAAGCUUCCCUCACCAACAUGGCUGGUUCCCCACUUCCUGUCAAGAUGGAGGACCAUACCACCACACCCAACUCAGGACACUCCCAACCACAGGCCUCCAGUCCUGAUACCCCAGGGCCGAAUCACUGCCGGCACUGAAUGAAGCCAUGGAGGGGCUGUGGCAAAAGAGCAGCGAAGAUCUCAGCCUGGAACAAAAGGUGCAACACCAAAUCAACACCAGGUGCCGCCCCCUCACCCCAAGCCGAAAAUCGCUACUGACCCUGAGAAGAUAGCUGCUGUGCAGCAGUGGCCUGUCCCCUCCACGCUGCUUUGUCAGCUAUACCGCAAAUAAGAAACCGGGAAUAAGUAGCCAAUUUCCAGGAAGGUGGUGAUGCACCAGACUUGCCUGACCUACCCACCACUUUACUGGACUUACUGGACUCAGCCGAUGCACUAUCCUUGAACUAUUGCACUACUAAU